rnacentral:rRNA from 1 species
UACGUAGGGUGCGAGCGUUAAUCGGAAUUACUGGGCGUAAAGCGUGCGCAGGCGGUUCGUUAUGUCCGAUGUGAAAGCCCCGAGCUCAACUUGGGAAUGGCAUUGGAAACUGGCGGGCUGGAGUGUGGCAGAGGGGGGUGGAAUUCCACGUGUAGCAGUGAAAUGCGUAGAUAUCGGGAGGAACACCAGUGGCGAAGGCGGCUUCCUGGCCUGUUCUUGACGCUGAGGCGCGAAAGCUAGGGGAGCAAACGGG